GGUGAUGUGUUAUCACUUCCUAUGCACAGUCUCCUCUUCCUAUGCAGUGUCCUCUUCUGAAGCUGAAUGAUUUAGGCCAAUAAUACUUACGCAAUUAUGGGUGUGCAGGUUGAAGUUAAUUAGGGUUCUGAAAUUCUUUGUGGAAAUCAUGGGCAAGCGGAAUUCAGAAAGCCUGGAGAUGGAGCAAGAAGAUCAAUUUCGUUCUCAGUGAUUGUCAUCAACUCAAACAUAGAGGUGGGGAGGAUUGCACUGCCUCCAUGAGGGGCACGAUGCCUCACUCAUUUUUAUUCGCCUAAAGUACGUGGACAGGUCGCUGAAGGAGGAGAAAAGCUAGAGUGCCGUGCACAAGCGAGCAGUUUGGCACCGAUGGUCCGGCGGUCUGCCUGGGUUGUUCCACAUUCAAGUUGUGGUUUUGGCACGUCCCCGAUGACACUCCCCUGCACUACGUGCUGACUGGCUGCACCCUGCGCCUCGGCGACGAUCAGAUGAUGCUGAGUCCAAGUCCAACAUAGGCAAGACGUUCUGUUGGCAGCAGUGCAGCAAUAUCCUUCCAGUAUGAGACACUGAAGAGGAUGAACAAACCGAGGAGAUCUCUAAGCUGCCAGUCCUGCCACCUAUAUCAUGCUGCUACUUAUUUUUCUUCUCAUGAUGUUUUAUUUGUAUUCCUGCCAACUCUCUUUGGUCAGCCUAUAACUUCAUUGAGGCCAAACAAUGCAAAAACGACAUUAGCAUAGAGAAGUUGCGUUUCUUCAGGACACCAAAUGGGGGCGUCACUUUGAUAGGAACCUGGAGCCUGUUGUUGAUCAAUAUUUUCAUCGUCGAUCUCAGUGGCUGUAAAGCAAUAGAAAGAGAUGGAAGGAGAAUUAUAAAUGAAGUCAGAAUUUCCAUUUCUUUUUCUCUCCUUCUAUGGGAUAUAGUAGAUGAUAUUUUCCAUUUUUGUUCAGGUUUCGGAGAUAUGUAUUCAGAAAAAAUGUGUACAGUCUCAUAUA